rnacentral:rRNA from 1 species
AGUGAACGCUGGCGGUAGGCCUAACACAUGCAAGUCGAACGGCAGCACAGGAGAGCUUGCUCUCUGGGUGGCGAGUGGCGGACGGGUGAGGAAUACAUCGGAAUCUACUCUGUCGUGGGGGAUAACGUAGGGAAACUUACGCUAAUACCGCAUACGACCUACGGGUGAAAGCAGGGGAUCUUCGGACCUUGCGCGAUUGAAUGAGCCGAUGUCGGAUUAGCUAGUUGGCGGGGUAAAGGCCCACCAAGGCGACGAUCCGUAGCUGGUCUGAGAGGAUGAUCAGCCGCACUGAAACUGAGACACGGUCCAGACUCCUACGGGAGGCAGCAGUGGGGAAUAUUGGACAAUGGGCGCAAGCCUGAUCCAGCCAUACCGCGUGGGUGAAGGAGGCCUUCGGGUUGUAAAGCCCUUUUGUUGGGAAAGAAAUCCAGCUGGCUAAUACCCGGUUGGGAUGACGGUACCCAAAGAAUAAGCACCGGCUAACUUCGUGCCAGCCGCCGCAGUAA